CUGAAAUUGCUGGAAUAUUGUUAAAAGCGGUGUUCACAUCAUACUCACUCACUUGUGCAAUAUCAGGUCAGUCUAUAUAUUUAGUUUUCAUAAUCAGGUGUGAUUUGACAAAUACGAGUCUGCUCCUCUUUGGGUGGGGCGUCACUCUAAUGUAUGCGGCGCAGUCGUUAAUUAAGCACCGUAGCAAUAUAUGACAAGCAAUUCACGCGUGUCAUUGCAUGAGUGCGGAAAGCUACACAGUACACAAGGGUGUUAGGGUCGUGAAAGAAUAUAUAUUAUCUCUCCAUUUAUGUCAGUAUAUGGUUGGUUGUUUAAAAGAAAGACAAACAGCACCAGUGUCAAUUGCAAACCUUCCGCUCUCCUACUGCAUGGAGAAGUGUGUCAUGUCACGUUUCAAUCACGUGAAUUUCGUGCAGCUCGUGCACUACAGUCACUCCGAGCAGCGUAUGGUGAAGCGGCCUCAGCCGGUUAUAACACUUGGACCAACAGAAGGACUGGGACCUGUGUUAGCCUGGAUGAGUGAACUCAACCCUACUCGGGGUUGGAUUGACUUGAUGUAAUCCCGUUCUGACAUCACCCAAGUUCACGGCGAGAAGCUACUCGGCUGGUUGGUGUGGGGAUGUCCGAACCAGGUUGGAUUGUGUCAGUCAAGACUUCUGUGGUGAGAGUUGUGAAUUGCGUCACUUUCUAACCUUGUCACGUGAUCUGACUGCCCAGGACGGACCCAUUCAAUUUAUCGAAAGACUGGCGUCUAUUAAGAACAGACGAGGAGUGUCUGAGCACAAGGCCCUAAGCCGGGAACUCCAAUCCCUGACCGAGAGGCACAUGGUGCGCCUCAAACAUCUCCAGGAUGUGACGGAGGUGUGUUGCCUAUAGACUGAAACUCUCUUCAUAUUGUUUGUUGUUGUAUUAAUUCCGCUUAAUCCAAGCAUACACGUCCAUGUGAAAUAGCAUGUAACAACGUUGAUGAUUUCUGUUUUGGCAGAAGGGAAUUUUGGGUAUGGCCGCCUGUCACAAUUGUAAACAGAGAAUGGCCAACAGCGAAUCCUGUCUUUAACAGACACACAUACAUGUACAGUGUCACACGAAACACUCACUCAUCCAACACUUUCUCUCUCCGUGUCUUCACCUGUUUCAUGCAUGUUUCUUAUCAACCCCACUUUUGAUUUUUUGAGUUGGUUUGUCUACUCCUUCUUCUUUCUUUAUUCCCUAUAUUGUUUGUCCCCACUCUCAUCCCACCCAGACCU